UCACGUUCUUGUUCUCCCUGACUCUCGUCUGGGAAAAGGCAAUGGUUCCUUCUGGCUCCUUUGCACAUCUAGUAUUUAUUUUACCCUCAGCUCGUAGAUUUCAGAUGUACUGGGCCUGAGCAUCUGCAAAGGCCUAGGAAACAGCCAGAAUUUCAUUGUAAGGUCAAGAAUCCUGUUUCUCUGACAGAGGAAAGGAACAACAACUUGACUGGACACAUCCUAACCCAACCAUACGCUGUGUUACUUCCUCCACUGCGCCACACACAGCUAUUAUUCUAAGCUCUCUUAUUCAAACCCUUAAGGAUUUGUAAGGACUUGGAAAGAGAAAGUGACUUCAGACAGUUGCUGUUGACAAAUCCUUGUAUUCUGAAUGCGGAAUUGAAUAACAUCUUGAAAAGUUAAGAAAAAUUGAAGAAAAAGGUUAUGGAGAACACUAAGAAGAUGGGCAGAAAUCAAAGCUUCCUGGUGUGAGGUUGUGGUAGAAGAUUCCUGGUUGAUCAAUGUAUAGAAGAUGGAAAUGGAUUCCAGUUGUGGGAAGGAAGAAGUCAUUGCUGCAGUCUCAGUCUGCUCUGCAGGAAUAGACCAUCUGAGGACACAGCACGAAGGUGGCCAUCUGCAAUUCAAGGAGAGAAGCCUCGGGAGAAAAUAAACCUGCCGGCACCUUGAUCUUGGACUUUUAGUUUCCAGAGCUGUGAGAAAAUAAAUUCCUGACCAACUGGAAGAGAGUUCCUACCACAGAAAGAAAGGCAGCCAAGAACACAAUGUCCCGACCUAGCUCUUGGAAGUACUAAAUUUCAUCACGGAAACCACAGCCUCAAGGACAGAGGACUUAUCCAGAGUCAUCAAAUCUAUCGGUUUUUCUGCUUUCUGUUUUCUCUGAAAGAGCCGUGAAUGAUGAGACGACAAAAUAUUGGAUUAUUUGUGCUCUUGAAACAGAUGCCACCUGAGUUGUGACAGG
rnacentral:lncRNA from 1 species